UGAAGGAUUAAAAAUUAAUAAUAAGCCGCCUAGCUACCCAAAAAGAAGAGGUAGGGUCUGUGAGAACAUGAACUUUUCGCCCCUCCCUUGCUGUGCAAUGGUUCCCGGAACAUUCUUGCAUGAAAGGUUUCCUGGAACAGCCACAAUGACCCAUAGCCUCCGGCCACAAUGGUCCAAUGGCCCUGUAAAAUGUCACUACCCCUAAUCACAAUGUCACAAAGGCCUAGAUGUAUGGGCAGUUUAUGGUUUUGGAAUUCCCCUCCUCCCUCCCUCUUGAUCCCCCUGGUUUGUGGUUUUUUCCUUUAUAAGCUCUGUGAAAAUUCAGGUCGGGGUCGAACUCCUCUACUCCCUGUGUGGUGUAUGAGUCUCGACCCCAGCAUGCUGGCCUGAGCUCUCGUUUCAUCUCGCUCACAAUAAAUCUUCCUCGUGUGAUUACAGCAGGUCGGUGUCUGUGUCCUACUGGGUGCGCGUCUUUCCCGAGACUUGAGUGGGGGGCUCCCUUCGGGGGUCUUUCAUUUGGGGGCUCGUCCGGGAUCUGCGCGACCACCCAGGGGUCCUAGACCCACUUGGAGUAACUGUUACAGGUCUUCUUUACCACCGAUGAAAGACGGAAUCCUACUGGAGACCAGAAAAAAAAGGGUUCCAACACGCAUAGAAGGCCCUCACUUCUGCCUGCUCUCUUCAUACCCCUGAAGGUAGGGAGUGCUCCAGGUCUGCCCCCAGGCUCCAAGGGUGGGUCUCCUAGGGGCUGGAAAAUGCCCCACCAAUCUGGCUAAGAUAAGGAAAAGAUAUGAAGAGAAAGUUACAGAAACUUGAAGGGUUAAGCUAAGUCGCUGAGAGAGUUAUUGUAAGUUGAUGCAUGGUUCAGGGUCUGUGCAGAAAAGUGGACAGCACCUAAUAGCUGUAGAAGAAGAUGCAGAGAGACAGAAAAAGAAAGAAAGAAAGAAAGAAAGAAAGAAGGUAAAAAGAGCAGAAAGCUAGGGAAGAAAAGAGACAAAAAGAAGAGGAAGCUAGAGAGCUAAAGAGAGAUAAAAGACAAGAGAGGAACAUAUACUGGCCACAGUAGUUAGGGAACCUAAGAAGAUAGUACCUGGCAACAGAAGAGAAUUCCUGGCUAAAGAUCAGUGUGCCUAAUGCAAAGAAAAAAAAAAAGACACUGGGUCAGGGACUGCCCCAGAAAGAACAAGAGGGGACACUGGAGAGCUUCUUGGUCCUAGAGUGCUGGCUAUGUACAGAGAUAGAAGGGAAGUGUGGAUACAGGGACCCAAUGCUCUGUGCUCCUAUGCUCCAGUGGGCCAGUAUCCAAAGACCUUGGGUACAGGGGCCUACUGGCAACAAACAAUACUUAUGGACUGCCCGAAGAACAGUGGACCUUGGCGUGGGCCGGGUAACCCACUAGUUCAUAGUCAUCCCUGACUGCUCCCAUCCCUUGCUCAUGAGAAAAUUGCUCCCCAAAAUGGCUUGCGUGGGCUGAAAUGGCUGGGUGAGGCCAUGUGUAUGCAUAUCUACAGACUGUGUAUGCGGAGCUUAAGACCUGUCUCAGUGCACCAGUACCUGAUGCUGGGAGAUGAAUGGCUUAGCGCUGUUCUACUUGGAACAUAUCACUCCUGCCAGCCGGGCACUAACAAUUAUCACCCAAUCCAGGACUUAAACUGUGAUAGAGUGGCUGAUGUUCUGCCUUUGAAUAGAGUGUCCCAAAAGAUGGGACCACUGGUCAGCUGCCAUGGACUAGAUUCUCUACCAGUUGGGGACAAUCUGGUCACCUUGCUGCCCAAUCCGGACCUGGAGCCACCACAGCACGAGUGUCAAGUACUGGCAGAAGCCCAUGGGUGGAGGAAAGACCUCUGCGACUGGCUGAUUGACCCCUGCUGAAAGCCGAGGACCUUGUCCACAGACGGGAACAGUUCUCUUCAUGAAUGAAGGUCAGAGACAAGUGGGUGCUGCCAUGGUGGACAACACAAUGUCAUCUGGGAUGGCUGAACCUCUACCCCCCCCAGUACAUCAGCACUGCAGAUGCCUUUACCAUCUCUUGGAUGCCCUGGUGAAGCCAACAACUGUGAGUACUAUUCAUUGCUCAGGAUAUCAGGAGGGAAGAGAUUCAGUGACAUGGGGCAAUAACGAAGCAGAUAAAGUGGCUCGAAAAAUGGUUAUGCAGGAGCCCAUCCUGGUUGCAGGCCUGCAAGAGACAGCCACUGGGAACUGGGAUCGGACUAAGGGAUGGCCUCACUUAGAAAAGGCCCAAAUUGCUUAAAAGAUAAAGGACAAUGGCACAUUGAGGGGAAAGCUAUACUUCCCAGAGAACAAAGAAAAGACUCACUUUGCCAAAUACAGAAAUGGACUCAAUUAGGAGAUAAAAAGUUUGUCCAAGUAGUUAAGUGUAUGUAAUAGACUUUAAGAUUUUAGCCAGAGAGGCAGUAGAAAGUAUAAGGUAUGUCAAUAAGUGAAUGCUUAGCAAGCAAACAGGGCAAAGAGACCUAGAGAGUUUGGUGAAAAGUCCAAGUGAACUUCACUGAGAUAAAACCAGAAAAAUAUAAUCACAAGUAUCUCCUAGUGCUUGUAGAUACUUUUUCAGGAAUAGAUAGAAGCUUUCCUCACCAAACAAGAGACGGCCUCUGCAAUCAUCAAGAAGAUACUGGAAGAAAUCUUCCUCCGAUUUGGAAUGCCCAAGGUAAUCUGGUCAGACAACGGCCCUACUUUCGUUGCCAAGGUAAGCCAGGGUGUGGCCAAGUAUUUAGAGGUCGAUUGGAAAUUACAUUGUAUUUACAGACCUCAAAGUUCAGGACAGGUAGGGUAAAUAAAUAGAACUCUAAAAGAGACCCUGACCAAAUUAACCAUGGAGACUGGCACAGACUGGGUGACACUCCUUCCCUCUUGCUCUCUUCAGAGCAAGAAAUACCCCUUCCAGAUUCAGCCUUACCCCCUUUGAGAUCUUAUAUGGGGCCUCAGCCCCCCUGACUGUAUUAGAUGAUGUUACUGAACCAACAUGUCAUAGUGCCAUAGUAAUAAUGAUUUGUGUGCCAGGCUAAAAGACCAACAGGUGAUACAGAAAGAAAUCUGCUCACAGCUGACAGCAGCCUAUGCCCCGGAGACCCCUGAGACAUCCCAUCAGUUCCAGGUUGCAGCUACACUGAGUCCAGACACUCGAGCCUCGCUGGAAAGGACCGUACCUGGUGCUGCUGACCACCCUGACAGCUGUCAAUUCUCAGCCCUCACCAGCCGUGUACUAGCUGUUGGGCUGAGAGCUGGGACCUAGAGGGAAAUUCAGUCAUGUUUGUCCUGGGUUCUAUCAAGAUAGGUGUGGGAUAGGCUGAUUUCCAUUACAAAUGAUGUAACAUUGCAUAUGUUAGUACUCUUAACACUUCUUGGGACUGUGCCUCAGGGAUCACAGUCCGUAUAAGCUUAGAAGUUCUAAAAGCUAGUCAUGACCUUGGUGGAUAGGCUUGGAUAGUGUCCAGGUUAGAAUCCUCAUGUUAAGACUACAAUACCAAGCUGUUAUGCUAGAUGAAGCUGAGUUCUCCAUGAAGUUCUAGGAUUAGAACUAUUAACAAAAAGAAGAAGUGGGGAAUGAAGGAUUAAAAAUUAAUAAUAAGCCGCCUAGCUACCCAAAAAGAAGAGGUAGGGUCUGUGAGAACAUGAACUUUUCGCCCCUCCCUUGCUGUGCAAUGGUUCCCGGAACAUUCUUGCAUGAAAGGUUUCCUGGAACAGCCACAAUGACCCAUAGCCUCCGGCCACAAUGGUCCAAUGGCCCUGUAAAAUGUCACUACCCCUAAUCACAAUGUCACAAAGGCCUAGAUGUAUGGGCAGUUUAUGGUUUUGGAAUUCCCCUCCUCCCUCCCUCUUGAUCCCCCUGGUUUGUGGUUUUUUCCUUUAUAAGCUCUGUGAAAAUUCAGGUCGGGGUCGAACUCCUCUACUCCCUGUGUGGUGUAUGAGUCUCGACCCCAGCAUGCUGGCCUGAGCUCUCGUUUCAUCUCGCUCACAAUAAAUCUUCCUCGUGUGAUUACAGCA